rnacentral:rRNA from 1 species
AGGGCUCGCAGGCGGUUUUUUAAGUCUGAAUGUGAAAGCCCCCCGGCUUCAACCGGGGAGGGUCAUUGGAAACUGGGGAACUUGAGUGCAGAAGAGGAGAGUGGAAUUCCACGUGUAGCGGUGAAAUGCGUAGAGAUGUGGAGGAACACCAGUGGCGAAGGCGACUCUCUGGUCUGUAACUGACGCUGAGGAGCGAAAGCGUGGGGAGCGAACAGGAUUAGAUACCCUGGUAGUCCACGCCGUAAACGAUGAGUGCUAAGUGUUAGGGGGUUUCCGCCCCUUAGUGCUGCAGCUAACGCAUUAAGCACUCCGCCUGGGGAGUACGGUCGCAAGACUGAAACUCAAAGGAAUUGACGGGGGCCCGCACAAGCGGUGGAGCAUGUGGUUUAAUUCGAAGCAACGCGAAGAACCUUACCAGGUCUUGACAUCCUCUGACGAUCCUAGAGAUAGGACGUCCCCUUCGGGGGCAGAGUGACAGGUGGUGCAUGGUUGUCGUCAGCUCGUGUCGUGAGAUGUUGGGUUAAGUCCCGCAACGAGCGCAACCCUUGAUCUUAGUUGCCAGCAUUCAGUUGGGCACUCUAAGGUGACUGCCGGUGACAAACCGGAGGAAGGUGGGGAUGACGUCAAAUCAUCAUGCCCCUUAUGACCUGGGCUACACACGUGCUACAAUGGACAGAACAAAGGGCAGCGAAACCGCGAGGUUAAGCCAAUCCCACAAAUCUGUUCUCAGUUCGGAUCGCAGUCUGCAACUCGACUGCGUGAAGCUGGAAUCGCUAGUAAUCGCGGAUCAGCAUGGCGCGGGUGAAUACGUUCCCGGGCC